rnacentral:rRNA from 1 species
AUUGAACGCUAGCGGGAUGCUUUACACAUGCAAGUCGAACGAGUGGCGGACGGGUGAGUAAUGUAUGGGGAUCUGCCCGAUAGAGGGGGAUAACUACUGGAAACGGAGCUAAUACCGCAUACUAUCGGAUGAACCCAUAUGGGAUGAGCUAGUAGGUGGGGUAAUGGCUCACCAAGGCAACGAUCCGUAGCUGGUGUGAGAGGACGACCAGCCACACUGGGACUGAGACACGGCCCAGACUCCUACGGGAGGCAGCAGUGGGGAAUUUUGGACAAUGGGGGAAACCCGGAUCCAGCCAUCCCGCGUGUAUGAUGAAGGCCUUCGGGUUGUAAAGUACUUUUGGCAGAGAAGCGGUAUCUGCAGAAUAAGCACCGGCUAACUACGUGCCAGCAGCCGCGGUAAUAC